AUCCUCAUUCUCCAGGUGGACGCCUAACUUCUUCAAUUCUUCAUCCUCAUUCUCCAGGUGGACGCCUGACUUUUUCUUAAUUCCUUUAUCCUCAUUCUCCAGGUGGACGCCUGACUUCUUCUUUAUUCCUUUAUCCUCAUUCUCCAGGUGGACGCCUGACUUUUCAAUUCUUCAUCCUCAUUCUCCAGGUGGACGCCUGACUUCUUCAAUUCUUCAUCCUCAUUCUCCAGGUGGACGCCUGACUUCUUCAAUUCUCAUCCUCAUUCUCCAGGUGGACGCCUGAUUUCUUUUUAACUUAUUAUCCUCAUUCUCCAGGUGGACGCCUGAUUUCUUCAAUUCUUUGUCCUCAUUCUCCAGGUGGACGCCUGAAUU
rnacentral:lncRNA from 1 species